rnacentral:lncRNA from 1 species
GCCAUGUGGAAGUGUAAGUCCAAUAAACCUCUUUCUUUUGUAAAUUGCCCAGGCUUGGGUAUGUCUUUAUCAGCAGUGUGAAAAACGGACUAAUACAAUUACCUAUGUGUGCACUGCUAAAUAUGAUAAUUUAAUUUUGGUUAGUUUUGAAUUUCAUAUAAAUGAGAUCAUAUGGUAUCUUUAAUGUCUCUGUCUUUGACCUUUAUAUUAUGUUUUUAAAGUUUUUUAUGUUGCUGCAAGCAUAUGCAGUUUCUUCAUUUUUUUGUUGCUGUAAAGUAUUCCAUUGUAUGAAAUACACCAUAAUUUCUUUAUCUAUUCUACUGCUAAUAGGCAUUUGUUUUGCCUCCAAUUUGAGGCUCUUAUAAUUAGUGCUAUUACAAAUAUUUUUCAUAUCUAUUAUGGUGCACAUAAUUCACACUUCUGUAGGGUGUGUACUCAGUGUGGAAUUUCAAGGUCACGGGAAACACAAAUCCUUAGUUUUACUAGUUUAAGGCACGUAAUUUUCCAGAAUAGUUGUACUAAUUGUUCUCCAGUUCACACAAGAUAAGCAUUUCUGAUGCUGUACAUCCUCAGCAACAUUUGAUAUUGUCAAAGGUUUUAAGUUAGGCCAAUAUGCAUACUCAUAUAUCAUUGUGAUUUAAUUUACUUUUCCUUGCUUUUUAAUGAGAUUAAACACCUUUUCAUAGUUUUUUGUCCAUUUGGAUAACUUCUUUUCUGAAGUUAAUUCUUGGCCAUUUUUCUGUGUCUUCUACUGUCUUUUAAAAUCUUUUUCUUACUGAUUUGCAGUAGUUUUUAUAUAUUACAAAUACUAGAUCUUGGUCAAUUAUAUACUUUGCAAAUGUCAUUUUCCAUUCUAUAGCUUGUCUUUUCACAUUUUUAAUAUACUUUGAUGAACAGAAAUUUCUAGUUUUAAGUAAUUAAAUGUAUCAAUAUUUUCCUUCAUGAGUACAGUGUUUUGUGUUUUGUCACAUUAUUUUUUCAAUGUCAUAUUGUCUUGUGAAUUUAGGUCUAUAAUCCACCUGGAACCAAUUUGACAUAUAAUCCAGUAGGUUUUCAUUUAAAUUUUCUCCCACAUAAAUGUCCAAUUUUUUAUAAAAUUGAAAAGAAAACCCUUUCCUUACUGCUUUGCAAUGUUACCACUGAAACAAAUCGUUUACCUAUAUGUGGGCAUCUUUCCCUGGACUCCUCUUCUAUUCCAUUUGCUAAGUUGUCUACUUUAGCGCCCAUACCACAGCUCAGACUUUUGUCACAAACAAAAGUCUGCUCUGUGAGUCCAACAGACUCUGUCCUGGACCAUUGUUUUCUUCAAGCCCACCAAAUUCCUAAAAAUCAUUUAUUAUUCCCCUAAAAUCAUCCGCGCUUCCCCAUCUCUCUUUCCCCUAAGAAGAAGUCUCUACAAGCAUCUGUACCCAUUGAAGUAUUGGCCAAUCACUCCGAUUUUCCCCGUGUGCAUAGGAGUAAUAAAUUUUAUGCUUUUUCUCUUAUUUUUCUGCCUUUUUAUGACUUGAUUUUUCAGUGAAGCCUCCAAGGGCAAAAAGGAAGCUUUCCCUUCAUUGCUACAAAACUUUAAAAAUUAAAUUUUUUAUUU